UGCUAGGGGAGCGUUAGCUGAGAGAGUCCCAACGGACGAAGACCCUUAUUACUUGAACCGGAUAAUACCAGCGUAAGGAAGCAAUUU
rnacentral:ncRNA from 1 species